GAGGAGGCUUUAGCCUCGCACAGGUGAAUUACCAUGUGUAUAAUUGUUCAGCAACACUGCACAUCUGCCAAGUUCUUUGUUAUGUCCCUUUCUUAGGGCCGUGGGCAGUCUGUUUGCAGGGACUGUCCAGAGGGUACAUUCUGCAAUGAGACCGGCCUGGCUGAAGCCCAGCCUUGUCCCAAAGGGCAUUUCUGCUUGGCUGGAAGUUCCCUGCCUCUCCCAUGUCCAGUGGUAAGAAUCCUUUAUGGCUCUGUUCUUCAAGUAGCACUUUUCAGUAGUUUCCAGUCCCUUGGUGAAGGGCAUGCACUACUUCUCUGUCUUUGUGCAGGGAACAUACACGGAUGUACCCAGGGCAGGUUCAUGCAAGCCCUGCCCAGCAGGCACGUACUGCAGCAUGGCUGGGCUGACAGAGCCAGAAGGACGUUGCCAGCCAGGACAUUUCUGCACUCAGGGGUCCAACAGCUCCUCACCUGUGAGUACUGAACACCGUGCAUUGCUGCAGCCCCUUCAGCACUACAAAAGCUUUCAUAAACCAUACUUAUUUCCUUUGCUUUAGGUGGGGCUUUCCUUUGGAGAUCUUUGCCCACCAGGACAUUAUUGCCCUGCUGGCACGACACACCCAAAAGAGAUGCCAUGCCCUGCUGGCACCUGGAACGGACAGAGGGGAGCCCAGGAUGCUACUUGGUGUCUUCCUUGUGCCCCUGGAUUUUUCUGCAGUAUGUCUGGCCAAGAUGCUCCUGGAGGACCUUGUACACAAGGUGAGACAAAACCAGAAGUUCUUUAGCUGCUCAGAAAUAUAUAUAUUUUUUUUUUUGCAUGACACAGAGGACUCAAAUGCUUUCUUCUUUAAGGCUAUUACUGCACGGGAAGGACAAAGACUGCAAAGCCAGAGGAUGGUGUCACUGGAAAUAUCUGUCCUCGAGGACAUUUCUGCCCUGCAGGCUCAGCAGCGCCUUCUCCCUGCCCCAGUGGAGAAUACAGUAAUGCAACAGGUCAAGACAAAUGCUUUCCUUGCCCUGCUGGGUUUCACUGUCCAAAAGGACUAAGACACCGCUGUCCUCCUGGCUUCUAUUGCCCUCAGAAAACUGGAACCCAUUUGUAUCCUUGUCCCCCUGGGACUUACAAUCCCUCUUACGGACUCAGCCAAGCUGAGAGGUGUCAGCAGUGCCCUGCAGGUGAGGAAAUACCAGUACUCUGAUCGUCUGUGUGGAGCAGUGUCUGAGAGUGAUCUCCCUGCAUAUCUCUUCUCCCAAUCUACUGAUGCAUUCC
rnacentral:lncRNA from 1 species